ensembl:lncRNA
GGCGGCUCAAACGCUCAAAAGUUUGGUUAUACUUGCAAAAGGGCAACUUGCAAUACUUGCAAAGUAGAUAUUUCAUUUAAGGGAGGAAACACUACGAAUAUGCAAAAGCAUUUGCUCACAAAACACGUGAUGACCUUAAAUGAAUGUCGUGUUUUUAAUUCCGCUCUCCGGACUCGUGAAUCUCAACCCAGCAGCAGCGGUAACGUUUGCACGUCCUCUCCCGUUAAUGCGGCAGGUGACCAUGAUGAGAGAGACAGAGUCUGGCUCAGAUGCUGGCAGCUCUCGCUGCAGUCUACCGGUAGCGUCUCCUUUCAGGCCAGGAUAGACGAAUGUCACCGAGCAGUGACUAAGUUUGUGGUCAAAGGUUUGCACCCAUUUGCCACAGCAGAUGCCCCCGAUUUCACUUUGGAAGCCAGUGAAACGAUUCAAGAAUGGAUGAAAUUCAAUCACACUUCCGUGUGGCUGUCAGCAGCACCAUUUUGAACCAGCUGCAAUCGAGAUUCCUGCGCCCUGAAUACAACUGCCACUUCCUGUUUGCCAGCCUGGCCUUUUACCUGGAUUUGUUUGGGUGAAGCACAAGGAAACAAAACAAUUUGGGUAAGUAUGAAUGUGAAUCUGAAGUCGGUUUGACUGAAUGUGCAGCUCUUUCAUUAACUUGUGAAAUUUAUUAGAAACUUAAAUGUUUAAAAGGUUUGCUAGAAUAAAUGCUACCCUACAAGUUCUGUUGUUCAGCUGAAGAUAGCAAAUGAAGUAUUUCUUUCACAUCUGAACCUACUUCUGCCUCUAACACUCAUCUACAUCCGCUCCACCCUGCCUGCACUCUCUUCUUCACCUCUCUUGCACUGCAAUGUCUGUUGCUUCGAGUGGUUGACCCCUAGUAUUUAACCUCAUCCACCUUCAACUUUCCACCUGUCUGCCUCUCAUUCACCCACAUGUAUUCUGUCUUGAUUCUACCGACUUUCAUUUCUCUUCUCUCCAGAGGAUACCUCCACCUCCCCAGUCUUUCUUCCACCUGCUCCCUACACUCACUGCAGAUCACAGUGUCAUCAUAUUCCAUGGAGACUCCUGUCGGACCUCAUCUGUCAACCUGUCCGUCACCUUUGAUGGGCAAUGUAUUAAUAUGUCAUCAGCUACAUCGCCACGGGAUAAUGUAAUGUUUUUUUAAGUACAGCAUUUGCAAACAAUGUUAAUAGUUCAUCUACGGCUUCAGUACUUGGCAAAGUAAUUUUAUUAAAAGUCAUCCACAAGUAAUAGUAAUAGUUGUGUGUUUGCAGAAAACCAUGUUCCCUCACCUAUCAGGUCAGAGGUUUGAUCUGAUUUCUGGCCAGCUUGCGGUCUUUCUUUUGGAUGUUAAACUCCAAAGUUCACUUUUGUCUCUAAAAGCCGAAACUAUCUUUUUGCUCUCUGACCUACUAAGCCACACGCAAGCAGCUUUUGGAGCAUUUUUUACUUUGGAUAUUGGACUUAAAAAGUUAUGUUUUAACUGUCAGUUGAUCACACAACCUUGAACUCCUGCCAGACCACACCAUGCCCAAGCUUUUCUUGGAGCCGUGUAAUUUUCACAGAGUUGAGCAGUACACAGAAUUCACUGGCUCAUGGUGACAUAUUCAUUGAGAAACUGAGACUUCAUAGUGCAAGUCUUUCUAUCUUUUUAGUGCUGGACAUUACAGUUUAGAAACCAAAUUUUAACAACAAGUUUAAAACUAACUCGGGAGAUAUUUUUGUCUUGGUGCUACCCAAGCUAAGCAGUUUUUUGCCCCCUACAGCUUUCAGUCUUUUUCUGAAGCUCAUCUAAGAAAACAUGUUAAAAACAAAGAGUACUGAAGUAUCUUGACUAAAACUCUGACCUGAAUUGGAGUAUUUAGAGGUGUAAAUAUCUCACUGUAAUAGCAAAAAAGCUCUGUAACCAUUGGAGCAGUUUCAUAAAUGUAUUUUAGAACAACAUUGCAUCUCUUUAUUUUAUGUUCAUUCUCCUGAAAAUACUUCCUGAUCUUAACUUAAAUACUUACAUUUGAAACUUUCAUAUGUAAGUCACUGUAAGUUAGUUAUACACUGCCCUUCCUCUGGGGCAAUUUAUUUUAGCAACAAAUUACAAUCUACUGCAAUAAUUUUAACUUUUUUUAAUUUUAGGAAAGCUCAAUAACAUGUUGGAAAUACUUCUUCUAUUACACUCAUGUUUUGAUGUUUAAAAAUGUUUUAAUCUACCCAUAAGUGCUUAGAUCUGGGGUAUAUUUCUAAUCCUCCUCUACUGAUCAUGAAAAACCUUUCAAAAGUGCCACAGUUUGUUUUGCCUAACUAAACCUUACUUUGCCAAUUCUUUGAUCAAAACUGUCCACUUCCCUCAGCAAAGACGGAGCUACUUUGUAUUUUUUUUUUCCCCUGCAUGUGUGUGUGAACCCAGCAAGCCGGCGGUCAUCAUUAAGACAGUAAAUCUGCAUAUUCCUU